rnacentral:rRNA from 1 species
UAAGACGGAGGGUGCUAGCGUUGUUCGGAAUCACUGGGCGUAAAGGGCGCGUAGGCGGCCAGGCAAGUCGGCUUGUGAAAGCCCGGGGCUCAACCCCGGAGGUGCGGCCGGGACUGCUUGGCUGGAGGCCGGAAGAGGAGGGUGGAAUACCCAGUGUAGAGGUGAAAUUCGUAGAUAUUGGGUGGAACACCGGUGGCGAAAGCGGCUCUCUGGUCCGGUUCUGACGCUGAGGCGCGAAAGCGUGGGGAGCAAACAGGAUUAGAUACCCUGGUAGUCCACGCCCUAAACGAUGCGGGCUAGACGUCGGGGGGCAUGCCCCUCGGUGUCGCAGCGAACGCGUUAAGCCCGCCGCCUGGGGAGUACGGCCGCAAGGUUA